rnacentral:lncRNA from 1 species
CUAUAUAUAUAUAUUUUUUUUUCGUUAUAGAUAUUUAAUGAUUAAUGAUUGAACAUUUCAGGAAUCCAGUGCCAAAGUUGCCAACUUACCUGAAAAAGAAAAACAGAAACAUACUAAAAAGAAAAACAUCUGCUACAGUAGUUGUGCUCGGCUCCUUGGUUUGAAUGAAGAUAUUGAGGAUGGUUCUAAAGACCCUGCCGCAUCCAGAGGAGCGUAUGUGUCUCUCCUUUAUUUGCGCCAUCUCCGGAUCAGAGAGCUAAAGCGUACCUGUUUGAGCAUGCUGAACUAUCUGCGCUCUGUGGAGAAAAGGCUGGCUGUGGAUACUGCAGGACUUCAGGUGUUGGGGGGUGUACAGGAGAGUAGUGUGGAGGAAAGCACCUGGAUGAGUGCAGCUCGAGGAGGCCGUGGGUCUGCAGGAGGCCUUGGUUCACAUCACUACAUCUAUGACACCCCUGCUGAUUACAAGGUACAUUGCACAGAGUUCAUGGAGUUCCCUGAGGUGGAGAAUCUCAGUGAUUACUACAGCACUGAGGGUCAAUAUAUCCACGUCCAGGAUCAAAGGGGCCUUUACAUUGUGUAUGACACUGCUCUAAUGGACCUAAAGGAGCUUGAAAACACAAUGCUGCUUAUAGCAUCACAUUACAUCAGCAGAUGCAGAGAGAAUUCCAGUAGAGAACUAAAAUCUGAACAGGACGUGGAUCGAGUGGCUGUUCUGCUGGACAUCUGGACAUGUGAGACUGCAUUCCUGGAGCAUAAAAUAGAGCUCUUGAAUUGCUACUUUGAAGCUUACCACCACAUCAUAGACCCAGAAGAGCGAUUUAGUUUGGCUCAAGUAAUUACAGAUAUAAUGCACAGAAGACCUCGUCUGAAUUUGGAAACAGAGUAUUUUGUUCAAGCCUACAGGCAGGAGGUGGCCUGUCUGCAGAGCCACCAGCAACUUAUCAAACUAGUUCUAAAUUCUCAGGUAAUUGUUUAUUUUAUUUUUUGCUGA